AUUGAACGCUGGCGGCAGGCCUAACACAUGCAAGUCGAGCGGAUGACGGGAGCUUGCUCCUUGAUUCAGCGGCGGACGGGUGAGUAAUGCCUAGGAAUCUGCCUGGUAGUGGGGGACAACGUUUCGAAAGGAACGCUAAUACCGCAUACGUCCUACGGGAGAAAGCAGGGGACCUUCGGGCCUUGCGCUAUCAGAUGAGCCUAGGUCGGAUUAGCUAGUUGGUGGGGUAAGGGCUCACCAAGGCGACGAACCGUAACUGGUCUGAGAGGAUGAUCAGUCACACUGGAACUGAGACACGGUCCAGACUCCUACGGGAGGCAGCAGUGGGGAAUAUUGGACAAUGGGCGAAAGCCUGAUCCAGCCAUGCCGCGUGUGUGAAGAAGGUCUUCGGAUUGUAAAGCACUUUAAGUUGGGAGGAAGGGCAGUAAGCUAAUACCUUGCUGUUUUGACGUUACCGACAGAAUAAGCACCGGCUAACUCUGUGCCAGCCGCCGCAGUAA
rnacentral:rRNA from 1 species